rnacentral:rRNA from 1 species
AUGGAGCUCCUGCCGGACAGCAUCCCCGCGGUGUCCGUGGCCGCCGCGGCCGCCGCGCUGUACGCGCGCGCGGCGUCGUCCCUCCUCCGGCCCGGGCUCCCGCGCCUCGCCGCGCUGCUCCCGGUGCUCGCGCUCCUCGCCGCCGCGCCGCUGGCCUUUGCCUCCUCCGCCAUCGUCCGGGGCGUCGCCGCCUUCUUCCUCGCCUGGCUCGGCGCCUUCAAGGUCGCGCUCCUCGCCGCCGGCCGCGGCCCGCUCGACACCGCCCUCCCCGUGCUCCCGUUCCUCUUCACCGCCCUGCUCCCCGUCAAGCUCCGCCGCGGCGGCGAUGGAGGUUCCGGAGCCAAGUCAGUUUCGCUCGUCUCCUGCGCGGUCAAGGUCGCCAUCAUGGCCGCCCUCGUGGGCCUCUACCGGCUCAACGCCCGGCUGCACCUCUACGCGCGCCUGGCGCUGUACAGCGUCCACACCUACUGCUUCCUCGACCUGCUCCUCCCCUGCGUCGCCGCCGCCGCGGCCGCGCUGGGCAUGGAGACGGAGCCGCAGUUCGACCGGCCGUACCUGGCCUCCUCGCUGCGGGACUUCUGGGGCCGGCGGUGGAACCUCAUGGUGCCGGCCAUCCUCCGGCCGUCGGUGUACGACCCCGUGCGCGCCCGCGCGGGGGGCGCCGCGGGCGUGCUGGCCUCGUUUGCGGUGUCCGGGGCGAUGCACGAGGCCAUGGUGUGCUACCUCAGCCUGCGGUGGCCUCCCGGCGGCGGGAUGGCCGCCUUCUUCGCCCUCCACGGCGCCUGCUGCGUCGCCGAGGGGUGGUGCGCGCGGCGGUGGGCGGCGAGGAGGCCGCCGCGCGCCGUGGCGACGGUGGGUGUGGGGCUGUUCGUGGCGGGCACGUCGUUCUGGCUCUUCUUCCCGGCGCUGCUCAAGGACGGCGUCGAGGAGAGGUUCCUGGAGGAGUGGGCUGCCGUGGCGGCCUUCUUCCUCGACGCCGGCGGGAAGAUUCCGUACGUCGCUGUACGGUGA